rnacentral:rRNA from 1 species
CAGUAGCCGCGGUAAUACAGAGGGUGCGAGCGUUAAUCGGAUUUACUGGGCGUAAAGCGUGCGUAGGCUGCUUCUUAAGUCGGAUGUGAAAUCCCUGAGCUUAACUUAGGAAUUGCAUUCGAUACUGGGAAGCUAGAGUAUGGGAGAGGAUGGUAGAAUUCCAGGUGUAGCGGUGAAAUGCGUAGAGAUCUGGAGGAAUACCGAUGGCGAAGGCAGCCAUUUGGCCUAAUACUGACGCUGAUGUACGAAAGCAUGGGGAGCAAACAGGAUUAGAGACCCCCGUAGUCCCUGUCUCUUAUAA